rnacentral:rRNA from 1 species
AGCAGCCGCCACGGUAAUACGGAGGUUGCAAGCGUUAUCCGGAUUUAUUGGGUUUAAAGGGUCCGUAGGCGGACUUAUAAGUCAGUGGUGAAAGCCUGUCGCUUAACGAUAGAACUGCCAUUGAUACUGUAAGUCUUGAGUAUAUUUGAGGUAGCUGGAAUAAGUAGUGUAGCGGUGAAAUGCAUAGAUAUUACUUAGAACACCAAUUGCGAAGGCAGGUUACCAAGAUAUAACUGACGCUGAGGGACGAAAGCGUGGGUAGCGAACAGGAUUAGAUACCCGAGUAGUACCUGUCUCUUAUAC